rnacentral:rRNA from 1 species
UACGUAGGGUGCAAGCGUUGUCCGGAAUUAUUGGGCGUAAAGAGCUCGUAGGCGGUUCGUCGCGUCGACUGUGAAAAACCCGCGGCUCAACCGCGGGCCUGCAUUCGAAUACGGGCAGGCUAGAGUUCGGUAGGGGAGACUGGAAUUCCUGGUGUAGCGGUGAAAUGCGCAGAUAUCAGGAGGAACACCGAUGGCGAAGGCAGGUCUCUGGGCCGAUACUGACGCUGAGGAGCGAAAGCGUGGGGAGCGAACAGG